GACGAACGCUGGCGGCGUGCUUAACACAUGCAAGUCGAACGGAAAGGCCCUGCUUUUGUGGGGUGCUCGAUUGGCGAACGGGUGAGUAACACGUGAGUAACCUGCCCUUGACUUUGGGAUAACUUCAGGAAACUAGGGCUAAUACCGGAUAGGAUCUCCUGCUGCAUGGUGGGGGUUGGAAAGUUUCGGCGGGUGGGGAUGGACUCGCGGCUUAUCAGCUUGUUGGUGGGGUAGUGGCUUACCAAGGCUUUGACGGGUAGCCGGCCUGGGAGGGUGACCGGCCACAUUGGGACUGAGAUACGGCCCAGACUCCUACGGGAGGCAGCAGUGGGGAAUAUUGCACAAUGGGCGGAAGCCUGAUGCAGCAACGCCGCGUGCGGGAUGACGGCCUUCGGGUUGUAAACCGCUUUCGCCUGUGACGAAGCGUGAGUGACGGUAAUGGGUAAAGAAGCACCGGCUAACUACGUG
rnacentral:rRNA from 1 species